AUUCCUUUAGUAUUAAUUAGUACCGCUGACUUCCAAUCAGCUAGUCCCAGUAUAAACCCGGGAAGGAAUA
rnacentral:tRNA from 1 species